UACAGAGGUCCCAAGCGUUGUUCGGAUUUACUGGGCGUAAAGGGCGCGUAGGCGGCCAGCACAAGUCAGUUGUGAAAUCUCCGAGCUUAACUCGGAAAGGUCAACUGAUACUGUGCGGCUAGAGUGGCGAAGGGGCAACUGGAAUUCUUGGUGUAGCGGUGAAAUGCGUAGAUAUCAAGAGGAACACCUGCGGCGAAGGCGGGUUGCUGGGCCGACACUGACGCUGAGGCGCGAAAGCCAGGGGAGCGAACGGG
rnacentral:rRNA from 1 species